GGGGUUGUGGCUCAGUGGUAGAGUACUUGCUUAGCAUGCAAGAAACUGAAUAGUGACAUUUCAAUAUUA
rnacentral:tRNA from 1 species